UGGGGAAUUUUGGACAAUGGGCGCAAGCCUGAUCCAGCGACGCCGCGUGGAGGACGAAGGCCUUCGGGUUGUAAACUCCUUUUGGAGGGGAAGAAUAAAUUGACGGUACCCUCAGAAAAAGCCACGGCUAACUACGUGCCAGCAGCCGCGGUAAUACGUAGGUGGCGAGCGUUACUCGGAAUUACUAGGCGUAAAGCGUAUGUAGGUGGUUAGAUAAGUCUAUGGUGAAAUUUCCUGGCUUAACUGGGAAGGGACAUAGAUACUAUCUGGCUUGAGUGUGGGAGGGGGAGACGGAAUUCCUGGUGUAGCGGUGAAAUGCGUAGAUAUCAGGAGGAACACCGAUGGCGAAAGCAGUCUCCUGACCCAAUACUGACACUGAGGUACGAAAGCUAGGGUAGCAAACA
rnacentral:rRNA from 1 species